rnacentral:rRNA from 1 species
AAGCUCGUAGUUGAAUUUCGGGGUUAGUAGGUUGGUCAUGCCUCUGGUAUGUACUGGUCUCACUGAUUCCUCCUUCCUUAUGGACCGUAAUGCCAUUAAUUUGGUGUUGCGGGGAAUUUGGACUGUUACUUUGAAAAAAUUAGAGUGUUUAAAGCAAGCUAACGCUUGAAUACAUUAGCAUGGAAUAAUGAAAUAGGACGUUCGAUCUUAUUUUGUUGGUUUCUAGGAUUGACGUAAUGAUUAAUAGGGAUAGUUGGG